GGAUUAGAAGAUUAAGGGGUAGACUGCAGCGCUUUUUAGUAUUAGGGGGUAAGUUAGAAAACUGGUGAACAUUGAGGGUGCAAAAAGUAAUUAAUCCUCCAAAAUUUGGCAGACAUACGCAUGUUGACGAGAAGGAACGAGAGGCAAACAUACGUCCGUUAUCUUCUUCUUCCGACGCCUCCGGUCGCCGUCGCCGUCACUUUUGCCCCCGUUAUCCGGCGACCCACUCACCCAAAGACCUGGAGAGAAGGACAAAGCUCGGAAGCUUGCGACGUGUUUCAUAACCUAUAAAGUUGGAAGCUUGUUAUAAGCUGUAAACUCCAUUCGUUUGUUAUUGCAAUCCUUAUCUUUG